rnacentral:tRNA from 1 species
GCCGGGUUAGCUCAGCGGAUUAGAGCAUUGCCCUGCGGAGGCAAGUGUCAUGGGUUCGAAUCCCAUACUCGGCA